UACGUAGGGGGCAAGCGUUGUCCGGAAUCAUUGGGCGUAAAGCGCGUGUAGGCGGCCCGGUAAGUCCGCUGUGAAAGUCGGGGGCUCAACCCUCGAAUGCCGGUGGAUACUGUCGGGCUAGAGUGCGGAAGAGGCGAGUGGAAUUCCUGGUGUAGCGGUGAAAUGCGCAGAUAUCAGGAGGAACACCGGUGGCGAAGGCGGUUCUCUGGGCCUUACCUGACGCUGAGGAGCGAAAGCGUGGGGAGCAAACAGG
rnacentral:rRNA from 1 species